AACCUUGAUCGUAUAGAUUUAUUGACAUUAAAUGACAGAAUGCAUCCAAAGCAACUGUAUUGUGGGUCAGGAACCAUAGAAGAAACAGCAUAUCAAUAUCCACCUUUAUGGCUAUGGACUAAUAAGAAAGCGUUAACAACAAACAGUAUUAUUAUUAUUAUUAUUAUUCAAGGUUAUAUAUCAACACUUCAUGUACAUUAUGCAGCUUGUGUGUCUUUAACAGACCUGGGUUCAAAUAGUAUUUGAAAUCAUUUCAAAUACUUCAUCUUGAUUGAUUGAGCUUGCAUGGCUAAAUGCAGUGUUUCCCACCCCUGGUCUUGCAGUACCCCGAACAGCCCAACCCUGGUCCUCCAGUACUCCGAACAGCCCAACCCUGGUCCUCCAGUACCCCGAACAGCCCAACCCUGGUCCUCCAGUACCCCGAACAGCCCAACCCUGGUCCUGCAGUACCCCGAACAGCCCAACCCUGGUCCUGCAUACCCCGAACAGCCCAACCCUGGUCCUGCAUACCCCGAACAGCCCAACCCUGGUCCUGCAGUACCCUGAACAGCCCAACCCUGGUCCUCCAGUACCCCGAACAGCCCAACCCUGGUCCUGCAGUACCCCGAACAGCCCAACCCUGGUCCUGCAGUACCCCGAACAGCCCAACCCUGGUCCUCCAGUACCCCGAACAACCCAACCCUGGUCCUCCAGUACCCCGAACAGCCCAACCCUGGUCCUCCAGUACCCCGAACAGCCCAACCCUGGUCCUCCAGUACCCCGAACAGCCCAACCCUGGUCCUCCAGUACCCCGAACAGCCCAACCCUGGUCCUCCAGCACCCCCAACAGAACACAUUUACACUGUAGCCCUGGACAAACACACCUCAUUCAACUCAUUGAAAGCUUUAUGAUUAGUUAACAAGUUGAGUCAAGUAUGCUUGUCCAGGUUUGCAGUAAACAUUUGUACUGUUGGGGGUACUGGAGGACCAGGGUCGGGAAACACUGACUUAAUGAACCAAUAGAAUUGUCCCAAAAUAGCAAACUCCGCCCAUCUGGCACUCCAGGCAGGACAUAUCAAAUGCUCACAGUUUCAGAUAGUUUUUGAACCCAGGUUCUUCUCAUGACACAGUCAGCACAGAUGAUAACAGAUCUUCAAUGAUAGACAUAUUACAUUAUGGCUUUUCAAUCAUUACAGUUACAGAAAGUUACCAGACAGUAUGGCAGAGCUAAGCUAACAAUUAUGUCAAUUAAAUCUAUAAAACAAUAACUGUACUUUUCCCUUUCCUUCUUCAUUCCCUGUUUAUUGAGAGCACGGGGAAGAAAACCUAUCACUUCCCUUUACCGCCGUAGAUAGGACAUGGAAUGGAGCGAUCAGUUUUCUUGAACACGUUGUAUUUACAUGCCUUUUGGUCAAACUCCUUCACGCAAUCAUCAGGAAAUCUUGUGGGCUCAGAAUAUCUGCAAUCAAACAAUCAACAUCAGCAAAUACUUUGAUAGAAAAUGUAUGGACUAUCACUCACUCACUCAUUCUCAAAUCAAAUUUAUACAACAGGUGUAGACCUUACUGUGAAAUGCUUAUUUAGAAGCCCUUAACCAACAAUGCAGUUUUAAGAAAAUAAGAGUUAAGAAAAUAUUUACUAAAUAAACUGAAGUAACACAAUAAAAUAACAAUAACGAGGCUAUGUACAGUGGGUACCGAAUGAAUGUGCGGGGGUACAGGUUAGUUGAGGUAAUGAAGGUAAUUUGUAAAGUGACUAUGCAUAGAUUAAACAUCGUUCGGGUCUCCAUUUGAUGAAUUGUUCAGGAGUCCUUAUGGUUUGGGGGUAGAAGCUGUUAAGGAGCCUUUUGGACCUAGACUUGGCGUUCUGGUACCACUUCCCGUGCGAAAGCAGAGAGAAUAAUCAAUGACUUGGGUGACUGGAGUCUUUGAAAACAAAUUUGGGCCUCUGACACCGCCUGGUAUAGAGGUCUUGGAUGGCAGGGAGCUUGCCCCUAGUGAUGUACUGGGCCGUACGCACUACCCUCUGUAGCGCCUUUUAGUCAGAGGCCGAGCAGUUGCCAUACCAAGCGGUGAUGCAGCCAGUCAAGAUGCUCUCAAUGGUGCAGCUGUAUAACUUUUUGAGGAUCUCAGGACCCAUGCCAAAUCUUUUUAGUUUCCUGGGGGGGAAUAGGCUUUGUCGUGCCCUCUUCAAGACUGUCUUGGUGUGUUUGGACCAUUCUAGUUUGUUGUUGAUGUGGACACCAAGGAACUUGAAGCUCUCAACCUGCUCCACUACAGCCCCGUUGAUGAGAAUGGGGGCGUGUUCGGUCCUCCUUUUCCUGUAGUCCACAAUCAUCUCCUUAGUCUUGGUUACGUUGAGGGAUAGGUUGUUCUUCUGGCACCACCCGGCCAGGUCUCUGACCUACUCCCUAUAGGCUGUCUCGUCGGUGAUCAGGCCUACCACUGUUGUGUCGUCUGCAAACUUAAUGAUGGUGUUGGAGUCGUGCCUGGCCAUGCAGUCGUGGGUGAACAGGAAGUACAGGAGGGGACUGAGCACGCACCCCUGGGGGAUCAGUGUGGCAGAUGUGUUGCUACCUACCCUCACCAUCUGGGGGCGACCCCUCAGGAAGUCCAGGAUCCAGUUGCAGAGGGAGGUGUUUAGUCCCAGGAUCCUUAGCUUAGUGAUGAGCUUUGAGGGUACUAUGGUGUUGAAAGCUGAGCUGUAGUCAAUGGAUAGCAUUCUCACAUAAGUGUUCCUUUUGUCCAGGUGGGAAAGGGCAGUGUGGAGUGCAAUAGAGAUGGCAUCAUCUGUAGAUCUGUUUGGGCGGUAUGCAAAUUGGAGUGGGUCUAGGGUUUCUGGGCUAAUGGUGUUGAUGUGAGCCAUUACCUGCCUUUCAAAGCACGUCUGUAGUCAUUUAGGCAGGUUGCCUUUGUGUUCUUGGGCACAGGGACUAUGGUGGCCUGCUUGAAACAUGUUGGUAUUACAGACUCAAUCAGGGACAUGUUGAAAAUGUCAGUGAAGACACCUGCCAGUUGGCCAGCACAUGCCCGGAGCACACGUCCUGGUUAUCCGUCUGGCCCCGCAGCCUUGUGUAUGUUGACCUGUUUAAAGGUCUUACUCACAUCAGCUACGGAGAGCGUGAUCACACAGUUGUCCGGAACAGCUGAUGCUCUCAUGCAUGCCUCAGUGUUGCUUGCCUCGAAGCAAGCAGAGAAGUGAUUUAGCUUGUCUGGUAGGCUCGUGUCACAGGGCAUCUCGCGGCUGUGCUUCCCUUUGUAGUCUGUAAUAGUUUGCAAGCCCUGCCACAUAAGACGAGCGUCAGAGCCGGUGUAGUAUGAUUCAAUCGUAGCAUUGUAUUGACGCUUUGCCUGUUUGAUGGUUCGUCGCAGAGCAUAGCAGGAUUUCUUGUAAGCUUCCGGGUUAGAGUCCCGCACCUUGAAAGCGGCAGCUCUACCCUUUAGCUCAGUGCGAAUGUUUCCUGUAAUCCAUGGCUUCUGGUUGGGGUAUAUACGUACAGUCACUGUAGGGACGAUGUCCUCGAUGCACUUAUUGAUAAGGCCAGUGACUGAUGUGGUAUACUCCUCAAUGCCAUCGGAAGAAUCCCGGAACAUGUUCCAGUCUGUGAUAGCAAAACAGUCCUUUAGUUCAGCGUCUGCUUCAUCUGACCACUUUUUUAUUGACCGAGUCACUGGUGCUUCCUGCUUUAAUUUGUGCUUGUAAGCAGGAAUCAGGAGGAUAGAGUUGUGGUCGGAUUUACAAAAUGGAGGGCGAGGGAGAGCUUUGUACGCGUCUCUGUGUGUGGAGUACAGGUGAUCUAGAAUUGUUUUCCCUCUGGUUGCACAUUUAACAUGUUGAUAGAAAUUUGGUAGAACUGAUUUUAGUUUCCCAGCAUUGAAGUCUCCGGGCACUAGGAGCGCCGCCUCUGGGUGAGUGGUUUCCUGUUUGCUUAUUUCCUUAUACAGCUGACUGAGUGCGGUCUUAGUGCCAGCAUCUGUCUGUGGUGGUAAAUAAACAGCCACGAAAAGUAUAGCUGAAAACUCCCUAGGCAAGUAGUGUGGCCUGCAAUUUACCACAAUAUACUCUACUUCAGGCGAGCAAAAUCUAAAGAAUUCCUUAGAUUUCGUGCACCAGCUGUUGUUUACAAAUAUGCACAGACCGCUCCCCCUCGUCUUAUCGGAGUGUGCAGUUCUAUCUUGCCGGUGCAGCGUAUAUCCCGCUAGCUGAAUAUCCAUGUCAUCAUUCAGCCACGAUUCCGUGAAACAUAGGAUAUUACAGUUUUUGAUGUCCCGUUGGUAGGAUAUUCGUGAUCGUACCUCGUCUAAUUUAUUGUCCAAUGAUUGUACGUUGGCGAGUAAUAUUGACGGUAACGGCAGCUUUCCCACUCGCCUUCUCCGGGUCCUGACAGGGCAUCCGGCUCUUUGUCCUCUGUACCUGCGUCGCUUCCUCUUGCAAAUAACGAGGAUGUCGGCCUUGUUGUAGAAAAAAUCUUUGUCUAAUCCGAGGUGAGUGAUUGCUGUCCUGAUAUCCAGAAGCU
rnacentral:lncRNA from 1 species